GCUACCAUGCAGUCGAGCGAGACCUUCGGGUCUAGCGGCGGACGGGUGAGUAACGCGUGGGAACGUGCCCUUCUCUACGGAAUAGCCCCGGGAAACUGGGAGUAAUACCGUAUACGCCCUUUGGGGGAAAGAUUUAUCGGAGAAGGAUCGGCCCGCGUUGGAUUAGGUAGUUGGUGGGGUAAUGGCCCACCAAGCCGACGAUCCAUAGCUGGUUUGAGAGGAUGAUCAGCCACACUGGGACUGAGACACGGCCCAGACUCCUACGGGAGGCAGCAGUGGGGAAUCUUAGACAAUGGGGGCAACCCUGAUCUAGCCAUGCCGCGUGAGUGAUGAAGGCCUUAGGGUUGUAAAGCUCUUUCAGCUGGGAAGAUACUGACGGUACCAGCAAAAGAAGCCCCGGCUAACUCCGUGCCAGC
rnacentral:rRNA from 1 species